UGUUAUGGAUGAGCAAAGAAAGUGAUUUCUUGAGAUUGAACCUACUCCUAGUGAAGAUGCUGUGAA
rnacentral:pre_miRNA from 1 species